rnacentral:tRNA from 1 species
GCCUGGGGGCUCAGUCGGUUAAGCGUCUGACUUUGGCUCAGGUCAUGAUCUCACAGUUUGUGGGUUCGAGCCCUACGCCAGGCU